GAAAAACUAGUUAAAUUAUAACAUAAGAUUGUCAUUCUUAAAUUACUAAAGUGUUUUUUU
rnacentral:tRNA from 2 species